rnacentral:lncRNA from 1 species
CCCCCCCAAAAAAAAGAGGAUUCUAAUAGAGCCAAAAAUGUCAAGGCUAGAGCCCCUUCAUGUAAAAUAAAAAAUGGUGGACGUAAAAAACAAAUCCACGGUGGAUCAUGUCUUUCAAGUCGCACGUUACUUUCUACCACAUUGUUUCAAACAAAGUUUUACCAUAAUAUUUUUUCUAAUUUGGAAGCGGUAUGUAAUUGAUUCCAGUAUGGAAUCAUGAUUAGAGUUAGCCUCGGUCGAUAUAUAACCUUUUUCCCUUGUAUAUGAAGGGAACAUUUACGUUGUUAGUCUUUCAUUUGAAAUAUUAAAAUUAAAGAGCAAAUGAGAAUUAUAAAAGUGGGUAAUUUCUAUAUCUAUCAGAUUAGACUGAACAAUUGUCGUUUAGAAGUAAUUAUGUAUAUUGUAUGUUAAAUAUUUAAUUGAAAGAUAGGGCUCACAAAUCAUAAAAGAGCAAAAGGACGUUAUCUCUAAAAUAGAAUGAUAACAAUCCAUGCAUAUAAGCCUUUCUUCAAAUUAUGCAUCGUUUCUUUGGCUUGGGUCAUUAAUCUUUCCCCUAAAUUCAAAAUAAAGUUAAUAGAAUAUAUGAGUCACCCUCCUCUCAAUUAUUAUUCCAGAGAUUUACAAUUAUUCAUUAAUAAAGAAAACAUACCAAAAAAUUUGGGAUAGAAUGAAAGAGCCUUCAUCAGGAUUAUUAAUUAAUGAUAUUUGGACUGACACCAAUAUUCAGAUGGUAUCUUUCAUUGCUCACUAAUUCUUAUCUACUCUCACCCUGAAUUCUUUUUGUAGGAAUCCUAAAUAAAAAAAAGGAUCCCAUUUUACAGGCUGCUAGACUAUUUUGCAUAGAUACAAAGCCAAAAGGGCCAAAUUAAGUCAUUGUUUCCUUUUUAAUUUAUUGUUUUUUAUUUUAACCUAACCUAGUCUUACUUGAGAGAUUUAAUCCUGGUUUCAAUAAGCAUUAUGAUCUUAUUGUUUAGAAUUUCGAGAUGAAAAGAGACUAAUUGAGACUAUGAAAAGAUAGGAAUGGAAGGGUUUCGCAUUUUAAUUUAGAACGGAUCUUUGAAAAUUCAACUUCAGGGGAAUGGGGCAUAAGACUAUUCUACGAAACUCGCUUAGGUACGAAAGCGAAUGAAAAAGGGGGGCAUAUGUAAAAACACCUAUCUAUGGUUUCUUAAUUCAAACUCUUGUAAUUGAGGGGAUGGGGCAUAAGAUUAUUCUACAAAACUCGCUGAAGUACAAAAGCGAAUGAAAAAUGGGGGCAUAUGUAAAAACACCUAUCUAAGGUUUCUUAAUUCAAACUCUUGUAAUCGAAGGGAUGGGCCAUAAGACUAUUCUACAAAACUCGCUUAAGUACGAAAGUGAAUGAAAAAGAGGGAGGCAUAUGUAAAAACACCUAUCUAAAGUUUCUUAAUUCAAACUCUUGUAAUCGAUGUUCCUUGCUUGCAAGGAGCACAAAUGCAAUUAGUUCAAUUUUCGUAUUAUUUGAAUUCGAUUCAAUUUGUCAAAAAAGUUAUAGUUGAGAAAAUAAUUUUUUUAAUUAGAAAAAAGAUGUACAUGUAUAUUCUAUCAAUAA